rnacentral:rRNA from 6 species
CCUGGUGCCUAUGGCGCGGUGGAACCACACUGAUACAUCCCGAACUCAGAGGUGAAACGCUGCUGCGGCUACGAUAGUUGGAGGGUCGCCUCCUGCCACAAUUGCUCGGCGCCAGGU